ensembl:snRNA U4 U4 spliceosomal RNA
AGCUUUGCACAGUGGCAGUAUCGUAGCCAGUGAGGUUUACCCGAGGAGUGAUUAUUGCUAAUUGAAAACUUUUCCCAAUACCCGGCCAUGACAACUUGCAAUAUAGUUGGCACUGGCAAUUUUUGACCGGCUCUAUGGAGA